rnacentral:rRNA from 1 species
GACGAACGCUGGCGGCGUGCUUAACACAUGCAAGUCGAACGGAAAGGCCCUGCUUUUGUGGGGUGCUCGAGUGGCGAACGGGUGAGUAACACGUGAGUAACCUGCCCUUGACUUUGGGAUAACUUCAGGAAAUUGGGGCUAAUACUGGAUAGGAGCUCCUGCUGCAUGGUGGGGGUUGGAAAGUUUCGGCGGUUGGGGAUGGACUCGCGGCUUAUCAGCUUGUUGGUGGGGUAGUGGCUUACCAAGGCUUUGACGGGUAGCCGGCCUGAGAGGGUGACCGGCCACAUUGGGACUGAGAUACGGCCCAGACUCCUACGGGAGGCAGCAGUGGGGAAUAUUGCACAAUGGGCGGAAGCCUGAUGCAGCAACGCCGCGUGCGGGAUGACGGCCUUCGGGUUGUAAACCGCUUUCGCCUGUGACGAAGCGUGAGUGACGGUAAUGGGUAAAGAAGCACCGGCUAACUACGUG